AGUCUUUUUUUCCCCCUCCACUUGUUCUCUCAGUUAUGGAGAAGCAUGUGUAAAAUAUCUGUAUUAGUUUCCCAGGGCUGCUGUAACAAAUUACCACAAACUUAGUGGCUUCAAAGAAGAGAAAUUUACUCUCUUCAGGCUUCCUUCCAGUGGCUGCUGGCAAUCGUUGAUGUUCCUUGGCUUGUAGAUGCAUCAUUUCCUUCUCUGUCUCCAUCUU
rnacentral:lncRNA from 1 species